GGGGGGGGCAAGCGUUGUUCGGAAUUACUGGGCGUAAAGGGCUCGUAGGCGGCCAACUAAGUCAGACGUGAAAUCCCCAGGCUCAACCUGGGAACUGCGUCUGAUACUGGUUGGCUUGAAUCCGGGAGAGGGAUGCAGAAUUCCAGGUGUAGCGGUGAAAUGCGUAGAUAUCUGGAGGAAUACCGGUGGCGAAGGCGGCAUCCUGGACCGGCAUUGACGCUGAGGAGCGAAAGCCAGGGGAGCAAACGGGAUUAGAUACCCCGGUAGUCCUGGCCCUAAACGAUGAAUGCUUGGUGUAACGGGUAUCGAUCCCUGUUGUGCCGAAGCUAACGCAUUAAGCAUUCCGCCUGGGGAGUACGGUCGCAAGGCUGAA
rnacentral:rRNA from 1 species